GACUACCGAUACAGCGGAAUACAAAGCCAUCUGUAGGCUAGCUGCAGAGUGGAUCUGACAGAGAGGCUCUCUAAUUGCUUCAAAGAUGUAGCUGAAUACCUAAGUCGGAGUGGAGCACUGACUGGCAAACAAUACCAGACAAUCAUUAGUGCUGAGAUGCUCAUGAAUUAUGUUCUUGUGGACAUCAAAGACCCAGACACAACAUUGGAUGCAUUUGCCUACUUUGUGACAGCAAUGAAACAAAGUGGAAACACAUUCUUCAAAGCAUUUGUCAAGAAAAAAAUUGAAGCUAAACGAAAGGAGUUCUAUAGGGAACUGCUCCAAGUUCCACCAAGUUUCGUGGCAUCUCAGGAAUACGACGUCUUCAUCAGCUACAGCCGUGAGACUGACAUUAUGCGCACAGUGGACACUCUUCUGUGCUCUCGACUGACACAAAAAGGCCUCAGCGUGUUUGUAGACAGAGAUGACAUUCGUCCUGGGAACAGAUGGCGAUCUGAAAUUGCCUCUGCCAUCAAAACCUGCAAAGCCUUUGUUUGUGUGCUCACUAAAUGCUACGUGAGGUCAUGUGUACUGCAAUGGAGAGCUGUACAAAGCAGUGUCUCUUAAGAAGCGACUGUUCCCAGUGGUGUGUGAGGAUGGUUGGGGAGAUGUGCCUGGAGGUGCUCCUGUGACAGAGGUAGUGAGAGACUCUCUCUAGUGGCAGAGGACAGAGAGACACAAUUCAAAAGACUGGUGCAAUGGAUUAAAGAAACUGUGGCACCUGUUGCAGUAGCUCCAGGCUCGUCUAAUCUACCCACCGAUCAUGCUGGUCCCUCGUCCUCUGUAAUGGAAGGUGUGUGUAAGGAGACUGGAGUGAUCAACAACUCGAUCAAGAAAUCUCUGAGAGUGACAUCAUUCUAUUAGCGGAGAAAUUUCCUCACCUGCUGAGCGUGCACAAGUUAGGUAGUACAUAUAAAUUAUAUACGUAACUUGUAGUCCUGACAUUUUGGUGAGAAGAGAAAUGGUGUUCAUGUGUAUGGGGGAUUGAUGACAUGUAUCUAGAGGGUUCGGGGUAUGCCCCCAGGAACUCUUUACUACCUGCUAUUAAGAAUAUUGUUCACCUGAACCACUCAAUUGUAUUCCCAUCGAGUUUCUUCUAGAAGGUAUUUCCGAGGGGGCAACUCCCACCAAAUGUAACCCUGUUGAUUGUUGCUUUUGUACAGGCUUUGACAAUUUACGUUCUACAAUAUGUUUACGAGAAACUUAAAAGUGUAAGCCCUCACUGGUUCGAUCUGGGAUUGGCUCUAGGUCUAACUCAUCCUGUUCUCACCAACAUGUAUAGCGAGCAUCGUGGAAAUAAUGUGUUGUGCUUGCGUGAAAUGUUGGAGUACACAAGAUGUAACAUGGAGUCUCCUGUCAGAUGGUCUCAAAAAGCCUACAGUGGAGCUCAUCAAUUUGGCUGAUAGCAUCACAGCCACAACUCCUAACCUGCUCAAUCAACUCGACCUCACCCCAGCCAACCUCGAUGAUGUAACUGAUGUCACACAUCGUUAUGACAAUCAAGCUGGAGUGGCUCAUGCAUUGAGAGUGUAGCGAAGAGUGAAUCCUUCCAGAACUACCUUCAGGGCCUUGGUGGAAAUUGCCAUAGGACUGAGAAGAGGAGACACCGCUACAGACAUUUGUAGAUUCAUUGUAAAGGAACUGAACAAAGAUAUUUAACGUUUUGUUUUUAUUCUGUGUCUUCAACCAUAGAUUGAGUAGUUAACCUAUGCUUCAAUACAUU